UGAUGUUCAGAAUUGCCCUGCCAUUCAUGCAAUAAAUAAAAAAGUGAUUUGGCCUGGUUUUCAUGUCUCUGAUGUGUAUGCACGUGCAGGUGCCAAAGGCAUCCAAUCCAACUCAGGUGGAGGCCAAGGAGGUUCAGCUCUCGGACAUUGCACCAAUAAUGCUGGAUGAUACCGACGUGAAGACUAAAAUAGAUGACAUCACUGAACUGGACAUUGCAGAGGAUUUUGAUAACCGGCCUUCCAAAAAGGCAAAAAAUUCUGAAUCACGUGUACUGGAACCAUCACCUAUGUCACCAACUAUGAAAACAUCUUCUCCAGGUUCAGAGUGUUUUGAAUCGUUUGUGCCGGAAUCAGAUAAUCAGAUGAAUCAUGAUACACUACCAUCACCUCCAUCCCCAUCUAGCUCGACAAUAUCUCCUGUUUUCCCAUUGCAUGAUAUUAAGGAACCAAAUUCACAUAAAGAGAUCAAAGUUGAUGAGACAUAUGAUUAUCUCCCACAAGUAGAAUCAUCUUUGAGAAAACAAUUGCUGGUUCAGAUAGAUGGAAGUUCUGUCUUGCAACAUCAAUUGAUGUGCCUGCUAGAUGAGAAAGAGUGGGUAAAUGAUGAUGUGAUCAAUGCAUAUAUAUGUUGUAUAAAGGACCAAAUACAUCUCCAGAAUGAUAAUAAAGUAUAUUUUGAGAGUCCAUUUGUUACCUCACUAUUUAAACAAGACGGCACCAUUGGAAUACAAGAAGGUAGUGCCUUCAUGACAGAGAUUGUCCUCGAAUAUAUGCAGCAUGACAUGAUUAAACUUCCAAUAAAUGCCAAUAACACACAUUGGUAUUUAGCUGUUGUGAAUACAAAAAAAGUGAGGUUCAAGUUCUAGACUCAUUGUGCUGGAAUUCUGACAGAGAUGAUCUUGCUAAUACGCUACGAGGAAUACAAUUUCAUUUGGACCUUCUUAAAAGUCAAAAGUUGGUAGGCGACGAUUGGAAAGACGUUGAUCUUACUGAAUGGAAGAUCACAGAACAAUUACAAAAGGCAAUUCAAAAAUAUAGUUCUUCAUGUGGUUUAUUUAUGGUUAAAUUUAUGGAAUAUUUCACCGGAUGUGCACUAUCCUACCCAAUUACACAUGUAUAUAUCUUUUUUUAAUAAAAAGUAUGUUACUUUUACAAAAAGUACUUUUUAAAUAUACUAAUAAUUGUUCGUGUUGCACAGGAAAUGAUUACUUCUUUUAGGUUUAAGUUAGCCAACAUACUAUUAUGUUGGAAAACAAACACUGCAGCAAUGACUACAAUCGUUGAAGAAAGUGACGAUGACAGCAAGGGAGAUCCUGAUGAUGUUCAAAUAUUGGAAAGUUUAGAUGAUAUAAAAAAACAUAAACAAAAAUCCCAUUAUCUGUUGAAAAUAAAUACAGAUCACUAAUAUCAAUUCUUUCUAAUAUGACCUUACAUGAGUUAACAGCUGGACUCUUUAGCUUCAUUAAAUCAAUUAAUUACACCAAGAUUUUAGAGUAAGUCAUUUUAAAUUAGUAUUGCAAUUGUAUAGUAUCUGAAUUGUUUUAUUAAUGGUUUAUUUUCUUAAUUUGUAACAUUAUCAGGAAAGUAUGGAUCCGAAGUUCAAAACCAUAUCCAAUUAGCUUGUCUCUCAGAAAACUACAAGGAUUGCUAAAGGAUGAUUUACCCAUGGACCGUGAUUGCUUUAAUUUGAUCGUACGGAAGAUUAUGUUGGAUGACAUCCAAACAUCACAAAAAACAAAGCAACUGAUAGCAAAGCAUUAUCUCGACAUGAAAUUUUGGAUGACUACUGAUUUUGGAAGGCACCCAGAUUUUCGUAAAAAGUUAGAUGUGGAGCAACUAGCAAAUUCUGUUCGUAGUUGGCCUGGUAUCAAAUAUAAUGUUUCAACAUGCAAAUCGGUAAGA